UCUGUAUGACGUAAUGAAUCAGCAAUCAUAUUAAUGUUAAAUGAAUGAAUUGAUUUUGAGUUGAUUUAUUAUUAAAUGUCAGAUUUGUUUAGUUUAAUUUAUUUCAUUUGAUUUGACUUUUUUUUUUUUUUUUUAGAUUUCAUUAGCUGCAGGGAUCAUUGUGGUUAUAACGGUACGCUCUGUUCCUGCACCAGCUCCUGUCAGUCCUAUGGAAACUGCUGCAAUGAUUAUAACGAUUAUUGUUUCAACACGACCACCACCACCACCACCACCACAACACCAGGUAAAAAUGUAAUUGUCUUUAACUGGUGUAUUCUCAGUAAAACUGCUCUGUCUCCUCUAUUAUUUCUCUUCAUUUGGAUCUAUAAAUCGUGUCACCAAGGAUGCAGUUAUCGCAGGAAACGAAGCACUAGCUCUGAUCACCACACUGAGGUCCUCACCCUUGGGCCAAUCACACUCAAAGGUCCAGAGGAGGCUGAGGCCAAGACGGAGGACAAGGAGUGAACUCACACUGACUGAUUAAUUAAUCACUUAAAUAUAGUUAACACUGAAUAAAUUUGCUAAUAGCUUGUUGAGCAAUCUCCCUUUCUUAAAUACUCACCUGUUGAUUUUUGGGGGGGAUUUAAACUGUGUUUUUGACCUAAAUUUAGAACUGUCUAAUCCCCGUAAUCUGAAUCAAUCUGCUAUGUCUAAAACAUUUUCCGAUUCUAUGUGUCAGAACAGUUUUGUUGAUCCCUGGAGAUUCCGUAACCCCUCUCUAAAAAAGUUUUCUUUCUUCUCCCAGGUGCAUCGUUCCUAUUCGAGGAUUGAUUAUUUUUUUAUAGACAGCACUCUUGAUUCGUGUGUAGUUUCUUCUGACUAUCUGGGUAUUGUAAUUUCUGAUCACGCUCCUCUACAAUUAGAUAUUCAUCUUUCCAUUUAUAAACGUGUCCCAUCACCUCGGAGAUUUAAUUCUCUUCUUUUGGCAGACACAGACACUUCCUACUUAAAUUUUUGUGCCUGUGGUUGGGUUUUAAAAUAUCUAUAUAACCAGCGAUAGUUAUUGGAUAGCCAUGAUGAGCCGGUGGCGGGGUGUGUUUUCGGUGAUUGUACUUUUUAAUUUUGUUUUCCUUUGUUUGCAUAAAAAGAAAAAAACUGUGAAUUAAUUUAAUACAAUGCUGAUCUAAAAUAUAAUAAUUACAAGACAGCAUAGGAUGAGGUAAAACUCUAGAACCAGCUAAAAUACAGUAGUGGCAAUUGUGAAAGUAGACAAAACAUGUCAGUGCUUUGAAGGAUGUGAAUUGGAACAGAAUAAUGUUAUUCAAUUGCGAAUCUGUUUUUAGAGGAUUUAAACCUAACAUGGUGAACAAAUUAUAUUAUACAAUUCACGCAAUUUGACUGGGGUUAUCUCAUGUAGUGUGGCAAGUAAUAAUCUGGAAAGACCUUUGUAAUAUCACAGUCUAAAACUGGAUUUAAAGAGAAGCAAAUCAGUAAAUGAAUCACAUGAAAAUGAAUCACAUGAAAAUGAAUCACAUGUAAAUGAAUAAAUAAAUAUGGGAAGAAAAAAAAAACACUGAAUAAUUUGACUAACCUUCCUCUAUUAAAGCAUUAUCUAA